AACGCGAAGAACCUUACCGAGGCUUGACAUCCCAGGAAGUCAGUCGAAAGACAGAUGUGCCUUCGGGAACCUGGUGACAGGUGCUGCAUGGCCGUCGUCAGCUCGUGUCGUGAGAUGUUGGGUUAAGUCCCGCAACGAGCGCAACCCUUGUCGUCUGUUGUCUUUUCAGACUAGACUGCCCGGGCCAACCGGGAGGAAGGUGGGGAUGACGUCUGGUCAGCAUGGCCCUUACGCCUCGGGCUACACACGUCCUACAAUGGGUAGUACAAUGGGCAGCCAAACCGCAAGGUGGAGCAAAUCCCAUCAAAACUACCCCCAGUUCGGAUAGAGGGCUGAAACUCGCCCUCUUGAAGUCGGAAUCGUUAGUAAUGGCGCAUCAGCAUG
rnacentral:rRNA from 1 species